CUCUGGAAGAGACACGAAGGCUGUCAGUGACUGGGUGGGAUAGGGACUGCCCAGAACUUGGGGAUAGUAAAUACAGCCAGUACCUCGAUUUUGGGUUAGCUGUCGGGGACUGAGCACAGGCAGGGAGCGUUGGCAGGGCUGUGGUUCAGCCAGAUCUGGUAGGUUGGUGAGUAGGUGGCAGCCAUAUGGGGGAAGAGAAAGGAAAGUGGAUGGUGGGGUGGCGUCCCGGCCACUUUCAUCUCAACACCUCUGCACGCCUCACCAUGCCCAGCACCCCCACUGCUGAGGCCGGCCUACUCAGCUGCAACCCUCCUGCAAGCUCCUCCUUUCUCUCCUGCACGGACCCAGGAUGACAGACCCAGGAUGACGUGCACACUCUUAGGAGCCAGGGCGGACCCACAGGACGCAACCAAGGUUUCUCUGACUCCGAGUGCUACCCCCACCCACGGAGGGCCAAGCUGACAGAGCAGGCCAUGCAAAGCAGAGGGCCUGGGCAUGGCUUCCUGUGGGCACACCUGCACAAGGAAGGCUAGUCAGUGCCAAAGGUGGGUUGACAAUGACCAGAUCCUAACGUCAACAGUUGGUGAUAUCAGAAAACUGGGGACUCCUAUGCCCAGAGGACUUGAGAGCAGAGUUCUGGCCUCAGACUGGCUAAUCAGAGAAAGCCAGUUGUGCAGGACUGGGCAGCUAGCACCCUCUGCUGGCCAUUAGUGGAAACUAUAUGUUUUGACUUCUCUUCCUUACAACCUGAAGAAUAGAGAUGACAGGGGCCUGGCAUGCAGGCUGUGGUGAGGUAAGGAUGUGGUGCUCUCUAGCGGGUGAAGGGCAGCACGGAACGUGCUUAAUCAGGGGAGAUACCAAGACUAGACUUGCAUUUCUAGGAGAUUCUUUCGGCUGCUGAGCACAGGCAGGGUAGUAGGGGUAGGGGUGGGAAGUAGGAAUGGAAGUUGGAGAGGUGCCAGCAUAUCCAUGAGAGUAGCGAAGGGGAAGGAACAGUAACUUGGAGCUGUGUAUACAGGCUGGCUUUGGGAGAAAAACCUGAGUUCAAGGUCUGGAGUGGAAGGCACAUGCCUGAGUGGCCUGAGAGUAUAAAAAUUGAACUCCAGGGUUUCCUCAAACACUGGCCAAGGGCCAGCUCCCAGUCAAAUGAUAGUGUAGCAAAAAUGCCCUGUACUACUGGCACCAGGAGGCACAAGACACUGGCUCACCCUCCCUCCAUACCCAUACUCCUUACCUUACCAGGGUCCAGUCUGUGAGCUGCCGGCCUCCUGCUAUCCUCUCGGGAGUCACUACUAGGAAGUCUACUGCACAGUCUCCCAGCCAAGGUGGCAGCUGAAAGAGCAGGGGCAAGUGUCAGGAGGGUCUGGAGGAUGUGAGCUCAAGGAAAGGAUCAGAGGCCUGAACCUUGACAGAGAGACACGGAGCUGUCUGUGUAGAAUCUCUGAGCAAACAUCGAUAUGUAUACAACUGUGGACACAGGUACUAAUGCCACAUGCUACCCAUACUGCAUGGCCACAGUUGGCACUUGGUUCAUACCCAUAGGUAUUCUGUGCAUUCCAGUGCUCACGGGCAUCAGACAUACCUGCCUCCACACGAGCUGACCCCUGGCACCACCUGCACUUGCAAACCCAGCCCCCUCUGCC